CUUAUGCCCAAAUAAAUGUUCGUCUCUAAAGUGCCACAAGGACUCCUUGUUAUUUUUGCUGAUACAGACUAACACAGCUACCACCCUGAAACCUGGAAAAUAAUGUGGAUUGUUGCUAAUUGUAGUGAGGUAACCAGUGAGAGAUUAGGUAUCAGGGGUUGCAUUGGAAUAGGUCACAGUGGCUCAUUGCGAGGCUGAUUUUUUUUUUUUCUGGAUGCUGCUUCCAUUACUCGAAAAUCUAAUUUUAAAUUUAAAAAUGCCUAGCUCUUAUAUUUACUAAGAAAACCUUCAGAAUAUGAAGAGGGUGUACCAGUCUGGCAGUGUCUGCUGGAGUCUGCAGACACCUGGAAAUAAGAGUUCUGAGAAAGGUGUGGCUUAUCCCAUUCUUCUCAGGGGGGUAGCUAAGCUGCAGCCUCGUGGUAGUAAUUUAAAUAUGAACAUGGCUAACUAUUGUGGAUCAAAGUAUGUUGGGAUUAUUACAUUUGAAGAUCUGCACAGCCCACUGUGAGUGGCAUCUCGUUUUGUCAUUGUGGUUGGGUGGAGCUUGAGUUGUGGGCAGAGCUUGGGAGAGUGCCAGCACUUAACUUUUUGGAACCUUGCUGGGCAUGGUGUCAGCUGCUGUGUACUUGUUCCGAGAAACCUUUUUGAAUCAUGUGACUGCGUAGUCCUUAUUCAUGUGAGUUGUCCUACAGAAGUUAGGAGCUGACUUGUAGUUUAAUGCAGUGUUCUGAUGGCUCAGUUGUAUAGUGGAGGUAGCCCAAAGUGGUAUAGGAGGCAGCAAAAGCAGUCUGCAGACAGCUGGGGUUGACUUUCCUUCAGGAAUGGCAGAUGGUCCCUAAAAGUAGGGUGGGGGGGCAGGCCAGCAGCACCCGAUCCGUGGCCCUGCCCUCACCUCCGCUCCACCAUUUCCCUUCAAAGCUCCCAACUCGUUCCUCUCUGCUCCUCCCCCACACCACUCACCCUUAUGGUCGGCAAAAAGUGGGGGGGGGGGACGCAUGGCACCCUUGCUCCCCCUAUUCCGACCCCCCCGCUUCCUGUCUGACUUAAGAUGUGUGUAAACAUGUCUGUUCCUGGAACAUUACACACCAUUUCACAUUUUAUUGCACAUCUGAAUACCUGCAUAUUGUUUUUUUUUAAUAGAGGUUUGAGAACUGAAAUGUCCCUUUUUAUUUUGGUGAGUAUUGAUGCACUAACAUAGGCCUCUUAUUUCCUCUUUUUCUGAAUGCCAGAAGCUGAGACCCACUUAGUGGGCACUUCCAUCUCUCAUUUCCUAUUCUAAAUAGAGAGGUCUCAAGGGACCUCAUUUGGGUCCAGGCAUGUUAAGACAGAGCAUUCUGAAAAUGAGACACACAUGUUUCAAGGUCAAGUUUCUGACAGCUGUGCUAGUUAGUGUCUGCAGAAAAGGAGAUGAAUUACCAGAAUAACAUGGGCCUGAAUUUUCUCACUUAUGUUGGUGAAAUCCCACUGAUGCCUAUGGAAUUCCUCCUCACUUGCGCUGGUGUAAGGAAGAGAAGGGAUGCUGUUUGUUCUCUGCUCAUAUUCCACCCCACAACCACUCUCAUCCAGAAGUACUUCCUAAUUUAUGUUUCAGAUAGUUUUGAAAAACGUAUCUUAAUCCUCUUUCUUCAUUUGCACAAGAUUAAAUAUUUCUCCAUAUUCAGGGGUACACUGUCAAGUCAAAUUUGGCUCCAUGUUUAAGAUCUGUAAAAACCUUAAGGCCAGUGGAAACAGUCCCAUGAUUUCUUUUUCCUUUUAAGCAAAUUAACAUGAGAGUUUACAACCCAGACAUUGCUGCCUGGCUUUAGUACAUGACAGCCAGAAAGUGAAACUGACUAGAAACCAAGGGGAAAUUGAUCAGCCUGUUUUCCGAGUCUCAUGAGAGAGAUGCUCUGAGUAAACAAAUGGCAAAAUCACUAAAUAGUAGAAUGGAAUUUUAAACUUUGACAUCUGGGAUUAAUGAAGCAAUCUGUUACUUUUGGAGUCCAGUCUUUUUCUUACACAUGAUGAUGUGGUCUUGGUAUGCUAGUAUGGUAGUGUCUCUGUUUAGCUACAUCCUAGCAGCAAACCUAUAAUUUUGUUCAAUAAUUUAAAGCAUUAAGACUCUCAAGUAUUGUUUGUAGAUAGAUUUCUUCAUAACCAUUUUGAAAGACAUUUCCUCUUACCUUGCAGCUUUUUCUCUCCAAGAUCAUUGGCCCAAUGAUUCACAGCUCUCCAUGUGUUCAGGGAGUUACAAAACAAUGUGUUUAAGUUUAUAAACUACUACCAUUUUAAACAAUGUUCUGAAAUUCCUGUCCUCUAUGCUGCAUUAUUUACAUCAUGAUACAGUCUCCCAAGUGGAGUGUCACUAGUUUUAGAUUCCUUUAAAUCUGAUUUGAGGACCUUUAAAUGUAGACUGAAUAAAGAACUAGAAAAUAUAAACAGAACAGUUGUUCAUUGGCCCCUUAAGAAGUCACUUCCCAUACCAUACCAGAACAUGUUAUUGAAUAUUUCAUAUAGAUAGAAUCAAAUUCUACUUUCUCUCUCACCAGUGUAAAUCAGGAAUAACUGCAGGGAGGUCAUGGGGAUGACAUGGAUAUAAAAUUGGUGUGAAAUCAGAAUCAGGCCCACAGGCAUUUCAAACCCCUUGUCAUAUGUAAUAGCCAGCAUAGAUGUUACAGUCACAAUUGAGUUGCUAAGGCACAGCUUUCCAAUAGUGCCUUGUAUAGCCCUUUAUCAUCUAAUUCUUCUGUUUCAUUGUAAAUUAACAAUGAGGGGAAGAUAAAAGUUUGGCAACCAGUUUGUUUAGAGGAGUCAAUUUAUGCUGCCUCUUGGCAAUGCAGUGUAAAUUUAUGCUUUCAGGCCAUGGUGAAUGCCAUUCUCCCUCCAAGACCACUAACUAUAUAUGACCUAAACACUUUGUAAAUGGGUCGGAUGAGGCUGUAUAUGAUUGUAAAGUGAUGUGAACAAUGUGAAAAAUGCACCUUGGCUAAUGUGGGGGGUGGGUGGAAGAAAAUAAAAUUUUUUGUCCUUAUUGACCUCGUUCGUACAAACUGGGUCAGUUGGGCAACCUGUGUCAUCUGUUGGCGCCAAAGCUUGUACGUCACUGUGCUUGCAGGGGGCAUGCAGGAGAGGGAGUGGAGGUACCGUGGCUUAGCUUUAACCGUUUCAUCAUCAGUGGGAAGGGUGCCCAUUUCCAAUGGGAGCUUUUUGUAGAAAAAGUGCUUCCAGCGUCCCUGAGCAUCUGUCCAAUGUAUCUGGUCCAUCUGGCAUAGACUGUAACAUGAAAACAGGGCCAUAUCUGGGCUCUGCUGCUUGUGAACAUGUCUGAAUUGAAGGUCUUGGCUUGGGUGCAUUCCUGUGACUUUGUAAUGCCCCUUUUACUAAUCUCAAAGCACUGCACAGAAAAGCAGCAGCACAGAGCAAGUGUCGAAGACUGAGAAUGUUAAAAACAUAAACUAUGAGCAUCAUUAGGGAGGCAGCUUGGUCCAGUAGUACUGUACUGGGAGUUGGGAGAGAUGGGCCCUGUUCUUGGAGUUACUACUGAUACCCUUUGUGCGCUCUGGCCGAGUUGCCUGCAUCCCUUCCUUAUUAUGGGGCUGGGUAGGUGAGUCAGAAUUGAUUCUCAUGCAUUAAAGUAAAAUAAGUGGCUAUUUCUGAUGCACUUUGUGGGUCUAGUUUUUUGAUCUGGGUCUUAACUAGGGGCUUGUAUACACUACAGAAUUAAGUCGAUUUAAGUUAAGUUGACAUACAGCCACCGCAGUCAUUAAAGUGGUGGUUCAUGUCCACACUUGCUGCUUCUGUUGGUGGUAUGCAUCCUCACCAAGAGAGCUUCCACUGACUGACGUGGGUCAUUGUGGGACACUGACAGCUGGAGCCUGGCAGCCCUGGGGCUGACAGCCUCAACUGUCGGUGCAGGGAAUCACAGUUCUUGCUCACCCCUCCCCCCCCCCCCCCCAACUAUCGGGAGGGCUCUGGGCUGACACCUCAGGCUGUCGGCACUGGAGCCGGCGGUGGGAGGGGCUCCAUUCAGAGCUGACAGCCAAUGUCAAUAAUGUGUCUACAUAGACAGUGUCGUCCUAACUACAUCAACAUAAGUGCUACGCCUCUCGUGGUGGUGGAAUUAUUAUGUUGGUAUAGCGGGCCACUUACUUCAGUGGAAGUAGCAUUGUAGUGUAGACACUGACAUAAUUAGGUUGACGUAAGCUGCUUUAUAUCGACCUAACUCUGUAGUGUAAACCAAGCCUAGGAUGUCCAGAUCCUACUGUUGGGUGCCCACAUAACCUGUUUAAGUGCAUACGUGCCAUUUGAAUGCUGAAACCUGGAGUUGCGUGCAUGGAGAUCUUGAAAGCUGCAUUCAAAUGAAGAGGAAAAGAGGGAGCCAGGAUCAAAGUCUGAAAACUGGGCUCUGCAUCCACAAAGCUUUCUGCAAGGGCUGCUUAUUUAUUCAUUCAUGUACUUUGUUUCUCUCUUUGAAGGAUGUGAAAUGUCUUUGCCAGUUUCAUGGGUGCUUUUGGAAGGGAAGCAGCACUAACAUGGGGCAAAGUUUCUCAGUCCUCUACCUAAAAGAUUCAAGUAAAUUCCAUGUGGGAUGAAGUAUUGAGCCCAUGGACAAUAGACUGUCAGAAAUCAGAUGCCAAGACAAAUAUUGCUUUGGGGGAACACUUAAACUGACUCAAGGCCAUAUUAUACUGUCAUGAUUACAUGGGAAGUUCUACUAAAAAACAGCUCGUAUGACAUGACCUUGUUAGUGGAACUCCUUGAAUGCCAAUAUUUUAUGCUGCAAAGUCAUGGUAGAGCUCUUCUCUGCCCCUAUAUCCAAAAGAGCAACAGACUGAAGUCUGUGAUUUGUAAAUACUUUGGAAUCCUCCAGGGUGUGAGGUAUUGUAUGAGACUGAUAUCAUUACAACCAACCACCCCCACCCCACAACCCCCUCUGUCUUUCUUCUUCUUGUGGAUUUCCCUCCACAAACCACCUUGGAUAGAUUGUGGUUUAAGAAGGGGAAAAAGUUACAUUGGAAACAUUUAGUUCUUUUUCCUCCCGAACCACAGAAAUCACUAGUGGACAUGGGAUAAUCAGAUGCCAUGAAUGCUUUUCAUUUUGCAGCCUUGCUGGGGAGAAGAAAAAAUAUGUUCACUUUUAUUAGAGCUUAGUAAGUUAUUCUUUUUGGAGCAGUCCUCUGGCUGGGGUCAGCAGAAGUAAGGGGCAAGCUGGAAUAUGCUUCACCCUUUUAACUGCUUACCCCCCUGUGUGUAUUUCCCUUCCUCUUCUACAUGAAGACCCUUCAGCAGCACUAAAGUUAAAAACAAUCCAGGCAAAGCAAGCUAUGUUUGUUCAGCUCAAGUCUUGUCCUGGUGCAUCAGUAUCUUUUAGAUGGGGACAAUAUCAGUCAACUUACAACCUUUUCUCUUCCAAAAAGAGGAACCUAUUUCUGCUUGGCCAUCUGUAGUUCCCAUAUUCUUUUGCAGUGGAUGAAGGGGUAUUCAAAAUGAGAAUCUGGGGGAGCUGGGCUAAAGGGUUCUGGGCCACUUCGGAGAGCCAAAGGCACAGCUGAGCAGAAGGGGAAACCUCCUUUUGAGUUGAGGACUUAAGUGGUUGAGCCAAUUUGGGGUUGACCUGUUGGUGCAUGACUACAGCAGGCCCAAUACUACCCUGAAGUCUCCUUAGAUGUGGCACUUUAGGUGACUGCCUGCUUACUCUGUACCUGAGGCCACCUUCCAAACAAAAGCUUCCUCAGUAGAUAUCUGUACCUAUUUCUACAUUAUGAAAGCAUGGGAAGGGGAUGAAUGGGUUUCCAAAGCCGCUACUCUAGAUAGGGAUCAGGGGGCUGCUAGAGAAAACAUUGUAGAGCCGUUAGCCUAAGCUACUCUUUAUUUGAAACAAUAACUGGUCAUUGGUAAGACACAAAACAUAGUAUAUCUUGUAUAUGGUGAGGAAGGAUGGUCUUGUGAUUAAAGUACUAGAUUGGAACUCAUACAUCUUGUCUAUUUAGAUUAUAAAUUCUUUGGGACUGGGACUAAGUAUGUAAACCGUGCCCGGCACAGUAGGGCUUGGCUCUCACUGGGACCUCUGAACACCACGGUAAUAAUAGCACAGCAAAGUUCCACUAGAUGUUCUGCUGCUAUAAGAGCUUGUGGAUGAGUGCGGAAAUGCAAAAGAGAAUCAGGACGGGAAAGGAGGGGAAUGAAAUAGCAAAAUGUUGCAUGGUGGAUGGAUGUGGGCUUAGACCUGUAUCACUGAUUCGAGUAUGAGGCCUGGUUUACAGUACAAAGUCAGGUUGAUGUAAGCUAGCCUUGCGUUGACCUAGUUGUGCAUGUGUCAGCACUGAAAUUUGUCUCCCAACCACAUAAACACCCUGUUACAGCGACGCAGUAACACCACCUCCCCAAACAGAGUUGAACCAUGGUGGUUGUACUCCGAGCAAUGCAUCAUGAGUGUAGACACUAUAUUAUCUAUGGAUCACCCCGACAGUCCUCCAGCACCUGUCCCACAAUGCCGGACAUUGGCCACUCUGGUCACAGUUAUGAACUCCACUGUCACCUAGACUGAAAGCCCCCCUUUAAAGCCCCAUGAAUUUUUUUGAAAUGCCAUUUACUGAUUGUCCAGUUUGAUGAACAUACCCUAGGAGCUCUCCAUUGUUGUGCGCAGCUGCCCAAGCCAGCUACAUGCUCCACAUGGGUUCUGGACUGCAGUAGACAGGAGAUAUUGGAUCUCCUGGGCCUGUGGGGAAGCGCAGAGACUAUGUAGGCCCAGCUCCAGGCUAACUGUGGACAUUUAUGAGCAGAUUGCUUUCACACAGCACUACUAUUGAUUCCUGUCGUACCCCUUCUUCUGCAUCCCCCAUGCAAAGGAACUGCAGCAGGCAUAUCAGAAGGCCAGGGAGGCCUGCAGUCGAUCCAGUGCCUAGCCACAGAUCUGCCUCUUAUGAGAGCUGCAUGCCACACUUGGCAGAGACUCACCACCCCGUAGGCCACCAUGGAUACCUCUGAGGAGCACAAGUCACAGGCCUCCUCAGUGAACAGUGAGGAGGAUGAGUGAUGUGACUGGGGGGACAUGCAGCCGAGUGGUCAAGCUAUGCUGCAAGCCAGGACCUGUUUGAGAUUCUACUACAGUCCAGUCAGUCCCAGCAGUCGAGCAUGGACAAGCCUGAUGCAUGGAAGGAAUCUUGGCUGCUGUCAUUGUGGUGUUGAAGCAUUCCCCCACCAUGCCUGUGGAGCGCCUGAGCCAGGUGGGGAGAAGAAAGAAGAGGAUUGGGAUGACAUCUUCAGCAAGAUCCUGCAAGUCAGUGCUGCAUCAGGCUGUGAGCAGAGAGCCUGGAGGGUGAAUAUUUCAGACUUACGGAGAAGGAAAGAGAAGGAAAGAGUGGACGGGGGAAAAGCCCAGGAGCUCCAGCAGGAAAUAGAGAGGUAGAUGCACCAUGAUAUAAUGGGGCUUCUGUGACAGCAAACACAGAUGCUGAAGACUCUCAUGGAUGUACAGGUUCAACAGCCUUGCAUUUCUUUACAGUCCAUGGAGGACUCCAUUAUAGCACCUCUGUACACUGUCCCUCAAAAUUUGUUGUGGCAUCAGGGGCUGCAUCCCUAUCUCUACCCCUCCACUCCACACUGGAAAGAUUGACAACCACAGCUUCACAUACGCUGACCUGUAAGAGCCACAGUUGCUGUAUGUUUAGCUAAAAUGAACAUGAAUGUUCUUUCCCCUUGUUAAGUUUUGUUCCAUAAAUUCAUUGUUUUUAAUAUA